rnacentral:rRNA from 1 species
GUUCUGUAAUUUUAAGAAGAUUUAUAUUAAUAUAAAUUGGAAAUAUCAGAAGUGAGAAUGUUGAUAUGAGUAACGAUAAACAGUGUGAAAAACAUUGUCGCUUUAAGUUCAAGGUUUUUAAGAAAAAGAUAAUCUUUCUUAGAAAAUAUUUAUACGGUCCCUAAGAAAAAAACGAAAGGUUUAUUUUAAUGGGUAAUUUAUUAUUAAAGUGACGGAGUAUGCAUAUUAUUUAUAUUUUAAGGUAAAAAUAUAAGUUAUUUAAUAUUUCCAGGAAAUAGCUUUAAAAAAAAAUCAAACCGUACCGAAAACCGACUCAGGUGAACAAAUUUAGUAAAUUAAAGCGUUUGAACGAAUUGUAUUGAAGGAACUCGGCAAAAUGACUCCGUAACUUCGGAAUAAGGAGUAGUUUUUAAAGAGCAAUCUUUAAAAACUGUCACAAAAUUGAGGACAGCGACUGCUUAACAAAAGCACAGGUCUCUGCUAAUUCGCAAGAAGAUGUAUAGAGACUGACGCCUGCCCGGUGCUGCAAGGCUAAAAUAAGAAAUU